GCUGGUGUGGCGGAAUGGCAGACGCAGCAGACUCAAAAUCUGCCGAGGGCAACCUUGUACGGGUUCAAGUCCCGUCACCAGCA
rnacentral:tRNA from 1 species